rnacentral:lncRNA from 1 species
UCUGAAGAGGGCAAUAGGCACUCGAUCAAGUCAUCCAUCAAGAUAUUAUAUUUUUCUCUAGCUAAAUAGCUAGUUGGAUACACUUAAGGCAUUAACUGAUGCUUGGCAAUGGUUUGUGAAGCGUCCUCACAUAAGUACAGACUAAAUGUGAUCCAAUUAUCAGUCCCAGGAGGCUGAUAACACAUUUAUUCAACAGAUAGUUCAGAAACCGUACAGCUCCUGAAGGAGCGGGCGGGCAAGC